GCGUUGAAAAGCUCGGGGAUGACUUGUGGGUAGCGGUGAAAUUCCAAUCGAGCCCGGAGAUAGCUGGUUCUCCCCGAAAUAGCUUUAGGGCUAGCCUCAAGGUGAGAGAUACGGAGGUAGAGCACUGAAUGUCCUAGGGGGUAUUGCACCUACCGAAGACUAUCAAACUCCGAAUGCCGUCAUCUUAUACUUGGGAGUCAGACUGUGGGUGAUAAGAUUCAUAGUCGAAAGGGCAACAGCCCAGAUCGUCAGCUAAGGUCCCUAAAUGUAAGUUAAGUGGUAAAGGAUGUGGGAUUGCACAGACAACCAGGAUGUUGGCUUAGAAGCAGCCACUCAUUCAAAGAGUGCGUAAUAGCUCACUGGUCGAGUGAUCCUGCGCCGAAGAUUUCCGGGGCUAAAACUUACUACCGAAGCUACGGCAUCAGUAAUGAUGGGUAGGGGAGCUUCCCAUACGGGUUGAAGCAUGACCGUAAGGACAUGUGGACAGUAUGGGAGUGAGAAUGUUGGCAGGAGUAGCGAGAUGUGGGUGAGAAUCCCACAGGCCGUAAACCCAAGGUUUCCAGGGGAAGGUUCGUCCGCCCUGGGUUAGUCGGGACCUAAGCUGAGGCCGAAAGGCGUAGGUGAUGGACAACAGGUU
rnacentral:rRNA from 1 species